rnacentral:rRNA from 1 species
CUCUGCGCAAGGGAUCUUUUGGUUCGCUAGACGAAGAAGGGCGCAGCGGAAUGCGAAAUGUGCAGGAGCAGCAGCGAAGAUAGCACAUGCCUGAAAUCACGAGAGUGAGACUACCCCUUUGAAUUAAGCAUAUGAGUAAAGGGAGGAAAAGAAACUAACAAGGAUUCCUGUAGUAGCGGCGAGCGAAGAAGGAACAGCCCCGAGUGUAAUCACCUAUAAUUAAUAUAGAGUG